GCGGACGAGUGAAAUUUCAUGUCGAAAGAAGUUAUUUCAGGGCGAAUGAGCAAAUCAGCCAGCGUGUAAGACAGUAACAGGAAUGGUGGUCGAGGAAUUUCUAUAUUUCCCCAAGGUGCCUGUUGUAUGUGGAAACCAGGUUUCAGGAAGCGCAAUUCUAAUCCAGAGGAAAUCUAGGUGGCAGAGGCCUUUGAUUUCGAGUUUUCCUCUGCUCUGGUUCCAAGGCAAUGAUCUCCUUCCAUUGAAACAAAACACCUCCAGAGAAGACACUUCAGAUCUGCUUUGCUAUCAAUAUGAGCAACACAGUAAAAACUACGAUACGCUGGAAACAGAUGC